rnacentral:lncRNA from 1 species
AGUUCUAUAGGUUAUGAGUCUCGGAAUCAAGUACAUGCCUUUCAUGAAGACUUUUCUUGUUAAGUUGGGGAAAAGCUCCGCUCUGAUAGUGAAACUGGGAAAGGGAUAUGCUUACUUAUUUAGUUUUGUACAAGAAAACUAUUUUCUAUGUUGUAAAAGAAAGUAUAUUGAAAAGCAAAGGAUUCGAUGUUAUAAUUUUCAAAGAAGUGAAAUGUGAAUUAUGUUUGUUAUGAGUCAAUGUGGUAUCCUAAAUCUUGUGGGAGAAUUCUUAUAUUUAUAGGAAAGUUUUUAUUUGACA